rnacentral:rRNA from 1 species
CGUGCAGGCGGUUUCGUAAGUCGGACGUGAAAGCUCUUGGCUCAACUGGGAGAGGUCGUUUGAUACUGCGGGACUUGAGGUUGGGAGAGGGACGUGGAAUUCCCGGUGUAGUGGUGGAAUGCGUAGAUAUCGGGAGGAACACCAGUGGCGAAGGCGGCGUCCUGGCCCACACCUGACGCUAAGACGCGAAAGCGUGGGUAGCGAACG